UUCCGGUUGAUCCUGCCGGACCUGACUGCUAUCGGAUUGAUACUAAGCCAUGCGAGUCUUUGCAGUAAUGCAAGGCGGACUGCUCAGUAACACGUAGUCAACUUAACCUAUGGAUGGGUAUAACCUCGGGAAACUGAGAAUAAUUCCCAAUAGAUCAUUUAUCCUGGAAUGGUUGAUGAUUCAAAUGAUUUUUCGCCAUAGGAUGGGACUGCGGCCUAUCAGCUUGUUGGUGAGGUAAUGGCCCACCAAGGCAAUUACAGGUACGGGCUCUGAGAGGAGAAGCCCGGAGAUGGGUACUGAGACAAGGACCCAGGCCCUAUGGGGCGCAGCAGGCGAGAAAACUUUGCAAUGUGCGAAAGCACGACAAGGUUAAUCCGAGUGAUUUCUGCUAAAGGAAUCUUUUACCAGUUCUAAAAAUACUGGCGAAUAAGGGGUGGGCAAGUUCUGGUGUCAGCCGCCGCGGUAAAACCAGCACCUCAAGUGGUCAGGAGGAUUAUUGGGCCUAAAGCAUCCGUAGCCGGCUCUGUAAGUUUUCGGUUAAAUCUAUAUGCUCAACGUAUAGGCUGCCGAAAAUACUGCACAGCUAGGGAAUGGGAGAGGUAGACGGUACUCGGUAGGAAGGGGUAAAAUCCUUUGAUCUAUCGAUGACCACCUGUGGCGAAGGCGGUCUACCAGAACAUGUUCGACGGUGAGGGAUGAAAGCUGGGGGAGCAAACCGGAUUAGAUACCCGGGUAGUCCCAGCUGUAAACGAUGCAGACUAGAUAAUGCACUGGCACAUAGCCAGUGCAGUGUCUCAGGGAAGCCGUUAAGUCUGCCGCCUGGGAAGUACGUACGCAAGUAUGAAACUUAAAGGAAUUGGCGGGGGAGCACCACAAGGGGUGAAGCCUGCGGUUCAAUUGGAUUCAACGCCGGG
rnacentral:rRNA from 1 species